UCAGGAUGAACGCUAGCUACAGGCUUAACACAUGCAAGUCGAGGGGCAUCAUGGAGUUGCUUGCAAACUCUGAUGGCGACCGGCGCACGGGUGAGUAACGCGUAUCCAACCUUCCCUAUAGUAGAGGAUAGCCCGGCGAAAGUCGGAUUAAUACUCUAUGUUUUCCGUUACAGACAUCUAAGAUGGAACAAAGGCUUGCCGCUAUAGGAUGGGGAUGCGUCUGAUUAGGUAGUCGGCGGGGUAACGGCCCACCGAGCCAUCGAUCAGUAGGGGUUCUGAGAGGAAGGUCCCCCACAUUGGAACUGAGACACGGUCCAAACUCCUACGGGAGGCAGCAGUGAGGAAUAUUGGUCAAUGGGCGCGAGCCUGAACCAGCCAAGUAGCGUGCAGGAUGACGGCCCUAUGGGUUGUAAACUGCUUUUAUGCGGGGAUAAAGUUCACUACGUGUAGUGUUUUGUAGGUACCGCAUGAAUAAGGACCGGCUAAUUCCGUGCCAGCCGCAGC
rnacentral:rRNA from 1 species